rnacentral:tRNA from 1 species
GCGAUGGUGGCAUAGCUGCCUUCCAAGCAGUUGACCCGGGUUCGAUCCUGGCCAUUGCA